GGCAUGUGGAGGAACCAAAGGAGAUUUGGGAGCACCAAGGUGGGACCUGGAAGUGGUGGGGGCACCAAGGUGGGACCUGGAGGACCUGGAGAACAUUGAGGGGCACCAAGGUGGGACCUGGUGGAGAUCUGAGGUCACCAAGGUGGGACCUGGAGAAGGUUUGGGGUCACCAAGGUGGGACCUGAUGGACAUUGGGGUCACCAAGGUGGGACCUGGAGAAGGUUUGCGGUCACCA
rnacentral:lncRNA from 1 species